AUUGAACGCUGGCGGCAUGCCUUACACAUGCAAGUCGAACGGCAGCACGGGUGCUUGCACCUGGUGGCGAGUGGCGAACGGGUGAGUAAUACAUCGGAACAUGUCCUGUAGUGGGGGAUAGCCCGGCGAAAGCCGGAUUAAUACCGCAUACGAUCUACGUAUGAAAGCGGGGGACCUUCGGGCCUCGCGCUAUAGGGUUGGCCGAUGGCUGAUUAGCUAGUUGGUGGGGUAAAGGCCUACCAAGGCGACGAUCAGUAGCUGGUCUGAGAGGACGACCAGCCACACUGGGACUGAGACACGGCCCAGACUCCUACGGGAGGCAGCAGUGGGGAAUUUUGGACAAAGGGCGAAAGCCUGAUCCAGCAAUGCCGCGUGUGUGAAGAAGGCCUUCGGGUUGUAAAGCACUUUUGUCCGGAAAGAAGUCCUUGGCCCUAAUACGGUCGGGGGAUGACGGUACCGGAAGAAUAAGCACCGGCUAACUACGUG
rnacentral:rRNA from 1 species